ACGUUAGCAAAAUCUAACGUCAAGAUUGACCUCUUGAACUAUUCCAAAGGAGCAUAACCGCUCAUAGCGGUAUUUUU
rnacentral:sRNA from 1 species